UUUCUAACUAACUGGGUACAACUCAAAUUGGGUCACGUUCGCAUUGCAGUUCUAGGGUUCGCCUAUACUUUCGGCAUAAUUUAUUCUGUUUUUAGCUUAUAAAUAAUAAAUUGGGUGGCGCGAUAGUCCGUUGAGAACCAAUGCCUAGUGACUUACAACUCUCAACCAUUCCUGUGUGCGAGUAAUGUUGUCAGGAAUGGUGGGGACCUACAGUUUAUAUGCCGACUCCGAACGGCUAAUUUUGAGAAAGCAUUUUUUCAUGACAAUAGUUACUCUUGGAGAAUUUGUCAAUUCCUAGCAAGAGGCAUUACCCAUAAGAAAUGCACGGGACAACUAACACAUGCUUAUCCUUAUGGACAAAAUCCUCCCAAUUUAGCUUGUAGGCCGAAAGAGACCAAACCCAUUAAGUCGGGACUCUAUAUAAUAUAUUUCCUCUAUGCUGUCUUCGAUGCGGAUACAAAAUUCAUAGACAUCAGCUGUGGUGAGUUAGGAUACCUACACGAUAGUAGAGUUCUCAGGCGUUCUAAGAUAUUCAAAAAAGCUUUGAGCCACUACAACGCAACGGACGGCAUCACUUCUAUUUCAAUUGACAUAAAAUCAUUUAAAAUUAUAUCAUCUGUGCCGCAAACCCCUUUCGAAUGCUUCGCGGCGCUUUGUAAUUUAUUCUACUACUUUUAAAUUACUAACAAUGUUUGAGUUAAGCGCACAGAAAUGCAAUUGUUUAUCAAAUGGAUUUUUAUUAAAACUUUUUAAAGAUUUACAUUUGUUAUUUAUUUGACAUAAGUGUAUAUUAAACGAGUUUAAGAACUCACGACCUAAUAUUAAUGGAAUGGCCAUUGUUUCAUCUGGCACUACAAGUAAAAAUACAUUCCCGCAACACUUUUUUUUUUAAUUUUAUUUCAGAUUUGAUUGUCCCGUAUGUCAUCAGUUUUUGUUUUCUAAGACCGGUAUAUUUUGACAUGGCAGCAAUAUUCGAAAUAUUAUUCGGCGUCCGCACAUCAGAUUUGCGUAUGAAGUUACUUUGACUACCGGUGUCAAAAAUAGAUAAACAUUUCUUAAAUUGUUACACUUUUUUUUUACUAUUAUUAUUAAUUAUAAUUAAUAUAAUCUUAACUAUUCCAAACAAAUUAUCACAACAAAAUAAACCGACUACGGCGGCUGCGUAGCGACGAACCACGAUGCAACUUGCACUCAACCGAGCAUAGACGAAAUAAUUAUCUAGAGUCCCGUCCUACCUGAAACACCCUCAAAUUUUAUUCGAGGUGAACUCUCUCAAAUUCCGUAUCGGUGAAUACAUGUGAGUGGUGGAAACAAAGCAAAAUGUCAGAUUGAAUUCUUGUCAAAAAUGACAGUUCCACAAUUUUGAUUUCAAAAACAAAACAUUUAAUUUGAGAUUCUACAAAUUAAAAACCCUAACAAUCAAGAGCUUCGAUUGUGUUUAAUUGGAAAAACAAUAGACCAGAAACUAGAAGAAAACAAUGAGACUUAUUCUACUCGGAGUUCAACUAUGGAUUAUUCAAAUAAUAUACUUGACUAGCGCCAAACUUGUUAUUGAAUAGUCGACCGCCCAGUUUUGGAACAAAAGCAGCACCAGCAACGCCAGAGUAUGCAGGCAAACCAGAUUUCCAACGUCCUCCGCACAGAAAUAUGAUGCAAGCCAACCUAAAAAAACGACUCUUGCAGCUGCAACUAAAGCACAAUUUUCUGGUUUUACAGAGUGCAACUUUCUCACUGGAAUCACAUAGAAGACCACAGAAAUGCCCUACAAACUACUCUAAUGAUGUUUCUAGAAUUGAGAACCCGCAACCUUCACCUGCCAAAGAUGUCCAAAAAUAAUACAAUCAGAAAUUGUGUAUUUGUGACAUGGUCCGAUUGUAAUUUUGAAAUUUGCCUCGCAUAAGAAUGUCACAAACGACUUUCCUCAAUUUUUUAAUGAACGGAUCGACUUAUGAGAACUAUUCCGGUAAUGGUAUAAUAUAAGACUAGAAGGCUCAUAACAGCAAGACUACUUCAAACAACAAAUCAAAACGAAGCGGUAUUGCAACAAAUCCUGCAAUGAACAAGGUUCGUCGUAG